GCGAAAAUAGCUCAGUUGGUAGAGCACGACCUUGCCAAGGUCGGGGUCGCGAGUUCGAAUCUCGUUUUUCGCUCUA
rnacentral:tRNA from 1 species